rnacentral:tRNA from 1 species
UCUCUUGUGGCUCAGCUGGUAAAGAAUCCACCUGCAAUGUGGAAGACCUGGGUUUGAUCCCUGGUUUGGGAA